GUUAAACGGCUGCAGUACUCUGACUGUGCAAAGGUAGCAUAAUCACUUGCCUAGUAAUUUUAGGCUGGCAUCAACGGCUAGACGAUAAGAGUCCUGUCUCUUUUCAUUUUUUGAAGUUAACCUCUAGGUGAGAGGCCUAGGUGGUUAAGUGGGACGAGAAGACCCUAUAGAGCUUUAAUUCUAACUUUUUUUAAGGGAGAAGGAGGAAUUUUAGUUGGGGCAACUGUCUUUAAAGUUAAACAUUGACAUUUUGUAAUAAAGGAUUUUGGUUAGUGACCUAUAAUAAUAUAAUCACUUGAAAAAGUUACCUUAGGGAUAACAGCGUAAUUCCUUUUGAGAGUACUUAUUGACAAAGGAGUUUGCGACCUCGAUGUUGGAUCAAGUUAUCCUAGAUGUGCAGCAGCCUCUAAGGGUUGGUUUGUUCAACCAUAAAAAACUUACGUGAUCU
rnacentral:rRNA from 1 species